GCCUAUGCCCAUGCCACCCUGAACAAGCCUGAUGUCUGAUCUCGGAAGCUAAGCAGGGUUGGUCCUGGUUAGUACUUAGAUGGGAGACCACCUAGGAAGACCAGGUGCUGUAGACA
rnacentral:rRNA from 1 species